rnacentral:rRNA from 1 species
UAAUACGUAGGUGGCGAGCGUUGUCCGGAUUUACUGGGCGUAAAGAGGGCGUAGGCGGUUCUUCAAGUCAGAUGUAAAAUCUCCCGGCUUAACUGGGAGGGGUCAUUUGAUACUGUUGGGCUAGAGGGCAGCAGGGGGAGGUGGAAUUCCCGGUGUAGUGGUGAAAUGCGUAGAUAUCGGGAGGAACACCAGUGGCGAAGGCGGCCUCCCGGGCUGUUGCUGACGCUGAGGCCCAAAAGCGUGGGGAGCAAACAGGAUUAGAUACCCUGGUAGUCCACGCCGUAAACUAUGGACACUAGGUAUGGGGAGUAUCGACCCUCUCUGUGCCGAAGCUAACGCUUUAAGUGUCCCGCCUGGGGACUACGGCCGCAAGGCUA